GAAUAAACUACCGACAAAAAAUCAAAACAUUCUACAAACCCAAUAUAGAGAAAUACAGAGAGCACCGCAGGUGAGGACUGAACUGUCUUCAAAAGUCAAUGUCGACUUGAGACCGAUGUCGACAACGAAGGACGGCGGGCUAGGAGGAUGGAGAUGGCCGGCAAGACAGAUCCGGCCGCGGGACAGAUGCGGCUAUUAAAGAUGGCGAGCUAUAAUGAGCUCUGCGAAGAGGGAGAUGGCUGGGUCCAGUAAGCUUGCGAUGGAGAGGACAGCGGAGAGCCAGCGAGAAAGAUCUGGCGGUGGCGAGACUGAGUUCGAGGCUGUGAUUCUGUUGGACUUGCUCGGCUGUGAUGAGCUCUUGCUCGUGCUGGCUGGUUCGGCGAGACAGAUGGAUUGGUGAGAUAGAUGGAUGGUUAGGCAAGAAGGUUGACAGAUGGAUGGCUGAGUCCGGCUGUGAGUAAGAAGGCAUCGGUUGGUUCGGGAUGGUAGCGAAUCAGAGACUAAAGAAGUCAUGAUUUCGGUGAGGCUGUGACAAACGGUGACUUGGACUGAACCGGCGACGAGCGAUGGGCUGAUUUGGCCUUGAUCUGGCGAUGUGGACCGGUGAGUCGGAGUCUUAGAGCUUGACCCGGUAUGGUGCUAUUUCUGAUGUUUGGCGACGAGCAGCAGAGAGCUAGAAGCAUUUGGCAGGACAUGAUCUGGGCGAGGCUUCAAGCGGUGUAGACCAGAUCUAAACAAUCCACAGUACACAAGAACGAUUAGCUUAGCAGUAAAGUGGAAAAUGCAAAAGAUGUUCAAUACCCGGUGUUCUCCAAAUAAAUUCAAGGAAACGGUUUGCAAUUUAAGUGAAGUCAAAAAGGUGUCGUACAAGAGAUUAGGUUUUGGUCCCUUUUAGACAUCGAGUGUACCAUUUUGAAGCGCAACCUGUGCUUAUGGUUGGUAAAACACUUUGAUCCUAGAACAUCCCAUCUUACCCUUGAAUCUGGCGCUCAGAUCCGUGUUACGCCAAGUGAUGUGGGAUAUAGGACAUUUGUAAUGUUGAACAGUGUUAUUUUUUUGGCAUGUAUUUUGCAAUCUGUUGGUGUUAGCUAUUUUUUAAGUUUUAAAGAAAAUUAGCUUUGCAACUUUUGAUUGUGGAUUAGGUUGUAUGUUUUCGCAACUAUUGUAUGGCUUAUUAUACUGGCAUCUACCUUAGAUGGAAUCAAAUGAAGUU